GCUCAAAUUUGAAAUCUGAGGCUCUCCAGCCCCCGAGUUGUAAUUUGAAGAUGGUGUUCUGGUGCCGGCGCCCUGUCUACGUUCCUUGGAACAGGACAUCGCAGAGGGUGAGAAUCCCGUGUGGCGGGGCGGCCUGGCUCCGUGUAGAGCGCCAUCGACGAGUCGAGUUGUUUGGGAAUGCAGCUCUAAGUGGGUGGUAAAUUCCAUCUAAAGCUAAAUAUUGGCGAGAGACCGAUAGCGAACAAGUACAGUGAUGGAAAGAUGAAAAGAACUUUGAAAAGAGAGUGAAAAAGUACGUGAAAUUGUUGAAAGGGAAGGGUAUUGGAUCAGACUUGGUGCUGUGCGAAUAGCGGCUCUUCCUGGGCCGCCCCACUCGCACUCCACCGGGCCAGCAUCGGUUUGGGCGGCAAGACAAUGGCGGGGGAACGUGGCACUGCUCUCGGGCAGUGUGUUUAUAGCCCCCGCUGAUGUUGCCUGCCUAGACCGAGGACUGCGGCUUCUGCCUAGGAUGCUGGCGUAAUGAUCCAACACCGCCCGUCU
rnacentral:rRNA from 1 species